UGGAAAUUGCAUAAUUUGGACUUCCUGUU
rnacentral:piRNA from 1 species